UACGUAGGGUGCGAGCGUUAAUCGGAAUUACUGGGCGUAAAGCGUGCGCAGGCGGUUCGUUGUGUCGGCGGUGAAAGCCCCGGGCUUAACCUGGGAAUGGCCGUUGAAACUGGCGAACUGGAGUGUGGCAGAGGGGGGUGGAAUUCCGCGUGUAGCAGUGAAAUGCGUAGAGAUGCGGAGGAACACCGAUGGCGAAGGCGGUUCUCUGGGCAUGUCCUGACGCUGAGGAGCGAAAGUGUGGGGAGCGAACAGG
rnacentral:rRNA from 1 species